UACGGAGGGUGCAAGCGUUAUCCGGAUUCACUGGGUUUAAAGGGUGCGUAGGCGGCCUGGUAAGUCAGUGGUGAAAUCUCCUGGCUUAACGAGGAAACUGCCAUUGAUACUGCUAGGCUUGAGUACAGAUGCUGUGGGCGGAAUAUGACAUGUAGUGGUGAAAUACAUAGAGAUGUCAUAGAACACCGAUUGCGAAGGCAGCUCACAAAGCUGUAACUGACGCUGAGGCACGAAAGUGCGGGGAGCAAACAGG
rnacentral:rRNA from 1 species